ACACUCCUACGGGAGGCAGCAGUGGGGAAUAUUGCACAAUGGGCGCAAGCCUGAUGCAGCCAUGCCGCGUGUGUGAAGAAGGCCUUCGGGUUGUAAAGCACUUUCAGCGGGGAGGAAGGCGAUACGGUUAAUAACCGUGUUGAUUGACGUUACCCGCAGAAGAAGCACCGGCUAACUCCGUGCCAGCAGCCGCGGUAAUACGGAGGGUGCAAGCGUUAAUCGGAAUUACUGGGCGUAAAGCGCACGCAGGCGGUCUGUCAAGUCGGAUGUGAAAUCCCCGGGCUCAACCUGGGAACUGCAUUCGAAACUGGCAGGCUUGAGUCUUGUAGAGGGGGGUAGAAUUCCAGGUGUAGCGGUGAAAUGCGUAGAGAUCUGGAGGAAUACCGGUGGCGAAGGCGGCCCCCUGGACAAAGACUGACGCUCAGGUGCGAAAGCGUGGGGAGCAAACAGGAUUAGAUACCCUAGUAGUCCCA
rnacentral:rRNA from 1 species